GAGUGGGAUUGGUGCCAUUCUGCUGAUGGCAAGAGAGACUUUCAUGUUUCUUCCUUGACUUCAAUAGACUGUGCUUAGAAUAAAUGUGUCUCCUCUCUCUGUUGUGUUUUUGGUUGGUGUAGUUUUGCCUUUGACCAAGCUAAUAAUGACAGAGUUGGGCUGUGGAUAUUUCUCCUGGUACUUUUGCUGUGCUUAAAGCAGUUUAAGGUGCUUCAGAGGCAUUGGGAAGCCUGCUUUGUUCUCAGGUGAGAAUGGAGCAAAUAAUUUCCGACCGUGUGCUUUGGCUCAAGGAGGUGUAGCACCAACUGGAGGUUCUAGCAGUGUCCUCUGGCCUUGUCCAGGUGUUGCACAACAGCAGCUGAUUGCAGUGCUCCUGAAGGUGCAUCGCAUGGCAGCUGAGCAGAAGAGGCAAUUGGGACCACCUGAGGACAUGGCCCUGAGCACAGGGGAGGCAUAUCUUUCUGGCAAGAAGGGAAAAAGCCUGCUGGAGCUGCAGUGUGAUGGGGACCAGUGAUGCCCAAGCCUGGAGCAGCAGAGCACGAUACAAGCUAGGUGGGUACAUACGUGGCUGUGCACAUUCUCCUGCCUGAUCUCCAGCUAUCUGACCUGGCGCAGGAAGGAGGCAGAGGCUCAGCCCAGGACUCUGGGCAGCAGAAAGAACAAAACUGAUGAAGAUGUUUCCAGGGAAGGAUCCAGAACAACUUGUGUCAUGACACAGACGUGACUGCAAAAUGAAAAAGGUGCUCUUCCUUUCCCCUAUUAAAAGUAUUUUAGAAAUAAAGAAGAUCGAGGCUGCAUUUAA